GAUGAACGCUGGCGGCGUGCCUAAUACAUGCAAGUCGAGCGAACGGACGAGAAGCUUGCUUCUCUGAUGUUAGCGGCGGACGGGUGAGUCACACGUGUAUAAUCUACCUAUAAGUCUGAGAUAACUUCGGGAAACCGUAGCUAAUACCGGAUAAUAUCUUGAACCGCAUGGUUCAAAAGUGAAAGACGGUCUUGCUGUCACUUAUAGAUGGAUCCGCGCUGCAUUAGCUAGUUGGUAAGGUAACGGCUUACCAAGGCGACGAUGCAUAGCCGACCUGAGAGGGGGAUAGGCCACAUGGGAACGUAGACAGGGUCCAGACGCCUGCGAGAGGCAGCAGUAGGGAAUCUUACGCAGUGGGCGGAAGCAUGGCGGAGCAACGCCGCGUGUGAGAUGAAGGUCUUCGGAACGUAAAAAUCUGUUAUGAGGGAAGAACAUAUGUGUAAGUAACUGUGCACAGAGUGACGGUACCUAGUCAGAAAGCCACGGCUAACUACGUG
rnacentral:rRNA from 1 species